rnacentral:rRNA from 1 species
UAAACUAGGAUUAGAUACCCUAUUAUGAAGUUAAUUUUGAUUGCCAUGGUAGUAGAUAAUUGAAACCUAAAGAUUUUGGCGGUAAUUUAAGCUCAUUAGAGGAAUUUGUUAUGUAAAUGAUGAUCCCCGUGGGGUGUACUUUAUUAAUUGUUUGUAUACCGCCGUUGAUUUGAUAAUUUUUAGAGGAUAAUGAAAUUUUUGUUAGUAGAGAUUGUCUUUUAAAUCAGGUCGAGGUGCAGCUUUAUUAAAGGUUUAAAUGAAUUACAAUUUUUGUUUGAAUACGGAUUAAUUAUUUGAAUUAUUUAUGAAGGAGGAUUUAAAAGUAAAAUUUUAAUGGAAUGAAAAUUUGAUUGUGGCUCUAAAUUAUGUACAUAUCGCCCGUCACUCUCGUUAAAAUAUGAGAUAAGUCGUAACAUAGUAAA